rnacentral:rRNA from 1 species
GAUGAACGCUGGCGGCGUGCCUAAUACAUGCAAGUCGAGCGAACGGACGAGAAGCUUGCUUCUCUGAUGUUAGCGGCGGACGGGUGAGUAACACGUGGAUAACCUACCUAUAAGACUGGGAUAACUUCGGGAAACCGGAGCUAAUACCGGAUAAUAUUUUGAACCGCAUGGUUCAAAAGUGAAAGACGGUCUUGCUGUCACUUAUAGAUGGAUCCGCGCUGCAUAGCUAGUUGGUAAGGUAACGGCUUACCAAGGCAACGAUGCAUAGCCGACCUGAGAGGGUGAUCAGCCACACUGGAACUGAGACACGGUCCAGACUCCUACGGGAGGCAGCAGUAGGGAAUCUUCCGCAAUGGGCGAAAGCCUGACGGAGCAACGCCGCGUGAGUGAUGAAGGUCUUCGGAUCGUAAAACUCUGUUAUUAGGGAAGAACAUAUGUGUAAGUAACUGUGCACAUCUUGACGGUACCUAAUCAGAAAGCCACGGCUAACUACGUG